rnacentral:rRNA from 1 species
GCAAGUCGAGCGAGAAAGUUCUCUUCGGAGGACGAGUAAAGCGGCGAACGGGUGAGUAACACGUGGACAACCUACCUGGGAGCGGGGGAUAACAUGGGGAAACCCGUGCUAAUACCGCAUACGUCUCCGGAAUCUAGGUUCUGGAGGGAAAGCUGGCCUAUACAUGUAAGCUGGCACUCCCAGAGGGGUCCGCGUUCGAUUAGCUAGAUGGCGAGGUAACGGCUCACCAUGGCGACGAUCGAUAGCCGGCCUGAGAGGGCGAUC